rnacentral:misc_RNA from 1 species
GGUGCGGUCUCUGCACCACGGCGGAAUUAGACGCCUGUCAUAGGCACUGCAUAUAGUUAGUGUAUAGAUUUCUCUGAAUAACUGUCUAAUGAGACAGACUAAUAAAUAUUAGACGCCAUAGAAGACAAUCUAAGAAUACAAGCAUUUGCUCUGCCGGAAACUGUUAUUCUUCAUUUUAUAAGAAAGUUUGUCAAGAAGGACUCUUCUAUGACCCUAUCUAAAACGACUAUCUGGAUGACAUAAUCGUGUUGUCAGAAUCAUUCGACAAACAUUUUUCCGAUCUCAAAGCUGUUUUCGAAAGGCUUUUGCUCUUCAAACUGCACACAAACAGAGAGAAGUGCCACUUCGCUUCUUCUCGUGUGAAAUAUUUCGGAUUUUGGAUCACACAAAAGGAAUCGAAGUUGACCCAGAAAAAGUUUCCUCUAUCCAGAGAAUUCCACCUCCCAUAAACAUCAAGGAACUCCAAUCCUACCUUCAAGCGUGUUCUUGGUUUAGACGAUACAUACAAAACUUUGUGGAAAUAUCAUGACCUCUUAGUGAUUUGACGAAGAAGAAAGUCCAAUGGGAAUGGGGUUUCAGCCAGCAAAAAGCAUUUGAAACUCUAAAAAACUGCCUCAUAACACCUCCUGUGUUGAAGCAAGCAAAUGGAACUCAACCGUAUAUUCUUCAAACAGAUGCAAGCAAUUAUGCUCUGUUAGCCGUUUUAUUUCAAGGGGAAGGGUCUAAAGAGCACCCUAUCGAAUAUGUCAGUCGACUGCUUUCUCUGGCUGAGCGAAACUAUUCGAUGACUGAACGAGAAGCCCUCACUGUAGUCUGGGCCCUAAAGAAAUUCUGCGGUUACGUCGAAGGAUCGGAAGUAACUAUAGCAUCCGAUCUUCAACCUUUAAAAUGGCUUUUGAACCUCAAGUCUCCAACCGGAAGACUUGCUAAAUGGGCAUUUGAAAUUCAGUCUUUCAACCUGAAAGUACAAUACAUUCCUGGAAAGGCAAACGUCAUCGCUGACAUGCUGUCCCGUCCAAGCACCGAACAUGAAGUUUCACCUUGCGAGAUUUCAAAUAUAUCUGUGGUGGACAUGCCCACAAGAAGUCCAAAAGACAUGCGUGAAUCCCAACUUAAAGAUGAAAACUUAAAAAAGAUUAUAUAAAGUUUUGAAUCCACUCAGAAAACUGAAGAAUGUGCCAACUGGACUGAACGGGGAUUCUUAAUGAAUCAAGGUGUUCUCUACCAAUAUGUCCCCGACUCUGAUUCAGAAGAGGCCCAGUUAGUAAUUUCAACUGCCGAGCGUGAAUCAAUCAUGCGAAAGCACAAUGAUGACCCAAUGGCUGGACAUUAUGGAGAGGAAGGAACAUUCCAAUGAAUUUUCAGACGCUAUUAUUGAACUGGUAUAAAAAAGUAUAUAUCCGACUAUGUGAAAAGCUAUCCUGAAUGCAACUGCUACAAGGCUACCAACCAAAAGCCAGCUGGACUAAGAACACCUGUCUAUUCUCAACGCUUUGAGAGCAUAUCUAUUGAUUUGUUUGGGCUACUGCCAAAAACUGACAUUGGAAAACAAUGGAUCUUCAUUGUCAAAGACUGUGCUACGUGAUGAGUUGAAUUAUUUCCUCUUGCUCAAGCUACAGCACGCGACUUUGCUAUAACCUUCAUCGAAGAAGUAUUCAUGUGGCAUGGUAAAACACGAAGAAUCAUCAGCGAUAAGGGUACCCAGUUUAUCAGUGCAAUCACGCAACAAGUUUGCUGCACAUUAAAUAUCAAUCAAAACUUGAUACCAGUUUACUUUCCUCAGUCAAAUCCUGUGGAACGGAAAAAUAAAGACUUAAAACCUCGUCUAGGAAUCCUUGUAGGAAAUGCGCAUGACAAGUGGCAUUCGAAACUCCCAGUUAUUCGCUUCACUAUGAAUACGGCCAUCUGUGACACUACAGGCCAUAUAUCAGCAUUCCUAAUGUUUGGAAAAGAGCUGAGGACUGUCAACGAUGUUGUUCACGAUUUCAAAGCUGUGGUUGAAAAUGAUAACUUUGUUCCUGAAAUCACCCCUUAUCUUAAACGAUUUGCAACUAUUACAAAGGACAUACAAGAGCGUAUCGAAAUAAAGCAAGAUCAGCGUAAAAAGCAAUAUGAUAAAGGAAGGUGACAAGUGUUUUAUUCACCAGGUGAUAAGGUAUGGGUCAAUUUACAUCCCGUUAGCAAUGCAAAAAAACAAAAAGACUUCAAAGUUCAUACCAAAGCGUGACGGUCCAUACCUGGUAAUGACACAGAAUUCACCUACUUUCUAUGCCAUUUCAAGCCUUCAUAAACCAUCAGAAACUUUAGGAAUGUACCAUACAUCAGCACUAACACCUUUCAAAGACUCGUCCACUUCUCCCAUUCUUCCAUUCAGGAAGAGAGGUAGACCGCCAAACGUUACUUUGCAUUCCCGAAAUAAUCAAGAACUUGUGGUUAUGGACAGUACUUCAAAGAGAGGUCCCCUUGCCCAAGAAACCAAAAAAACUGAGACAAGAGAAAAUGUUACAAGAGCUUCCAAAUCCUCUAGUUCUGUCUCCUUGCCAGGACGUCGGCGGAGCCAGAGGGGGUUGUUUGUAACCAAUCCCUUAACAUAAACUGUUGGACUAACUGUGACAACAAGGCUGCUCUCUGGUGAGUAGCCAGAGAAGUACUUCAGCAAAAGUCAAGGCUCCCACUUGAUAGGGGUUACCAGACUUUUACUCUGUAAUUUUUCUUAAAGUUAAAUGUAAUGUCCAUGUGUAACUUAAACCUGUUAAUAAAUACUUGUUAUACUA